ensembl:lncRNA
GAUCUGAGAAAAGAGAAUCUUGAAGGAGCUGUGAUCCCAGCAUGUGAUUUUCUUCUCUGAAAUUCAGCGAGAUGUAUCACUCAUCAGGCUUCGAAGGAAUUAGAGAAGUUUUGGGACAGUUGUAAAUAGAGGUGCUAUGAACAGAUGCUUUCAUUUAUCCUGAGGAUGGCUGACUUGCUUAGAAAAGGAAUGCAGCCCGUGAAAAGAAGGGGCUUUCUACAGCUGUCUUUAUUUCUGAACUCUAUUGCCUUGGGGAAACUUUAUUGUUAAAAUGAAAAUUCCAUGUGUGCGGUUUUACUAAUACAUAUCUACAGUUGUAGAGUUCAAAAACACUUGAUGAUGUAAAUCAAUACUGCGUAUACUUUGUAAAAAAGUGAAUCUCAUCUUUUAAAAUGUCCUUAAGAGAAUGUGUUCAUUUUUAUGACAGAUAUUACAGCCUUUGCAAAUACUAAGCAGAUGACUGUGAGACCCAUUUAAAUCACCUGUCCUGUACUCUGGCUUCCCCUUGAGAAAUCUGUUCAUAAGAUGUAGUUUGCAUUUUAGUAAAGAAGAAAGCUUUAAUCAUGUUACUUGGGGAGUGAAAGGACUUUAUUAUUCAGCCUGUGUACAUUUUCCAAAUUUAAGAGUCUGGUGGAAUAGUUGUUCCAUCCUGCAUUUCACAAGUUCUAGCUGUGGUCUGUUUACAGAUGUGGUCUACAGUAUUUAAAGGAGCCAGUGUUUUUUGUUUUUCUAUUUUGGAUUAGAAUUUGUUCUCAUAGAUCAAGAGAUUUUAAGUUUUUGCAUCAUUUUAUCUAGUACGGGAAAAGAAGCUAAGAGAACAAACUGAACCAGAGGUAU